UACAACUUUCAACAACGGAUCUCUUGGCUCUCGCAUCGAUGAAGAACGCAGCGAAAUGCGAUACGUAAUGUGAAUUGCAGAAUUCAGUGAAUCAUCGAAUCUUUGAACGCACCUUGCGCCCCUUGGCAUUCCGAGGGGCACACCCGUUUGAGUGUCGUG
rnacentral:rRNA from 1 species